rnacentral:rRNA from 1 species
UACGAAGGGGGCUAGCGUUGUUCGGAAUUACUGGGCGUAAAGCGCACGUAGGCGGAUAUUUAAGUCAGGGGUGAAAUCCCAGAGCUCAACUCUGGAACUGCCUUUGAUACUGGGUAUCUUGAGUAUGGAAGAGGUAAGUGGAAUUGCGAGUGUAGAGGUGAAAUUCGUAGAUAUUCGCAGGAACACCAGUGGCGAAGGCGGCUUACUGGUCCAUAACUGACGCUUGAGGUGCGAAAGCGUGGGGAGCAAACAGG